rnacentral:rRNA from 1 species
GAUGAACGCUGGCGGCGUGCCUAAUACAUGCAAGUCGAGCGAACAGACGAGGAGCUUGCUCCUCUGACGUUAGCGGCGGACGGGUGAGUAACACGUGGAUAACCUACCUAUAAGACUGGGAUAACUUCGGGAAACCGGAGCUAAUACCGGAUAAUAUAUUGAACCGCAUGGUUCAAUAGUGAAAGACGGUUUUGCUGUCACUUAUAGAUGGAUCCGCGCCGCAUUAGCUAGUUGGUAAGGUAACGGCUUACCAAGGCAACGAUGCGUAGCCGACCUGAGAGGUGGAUCGGCCACACUGGAACUGAGACACGGUCCAGACUCCUACGGGAGGCAGCAGUAGGGAAUCUGCCGCAAUGGGCGAAAGCUUGACGGAGCAACGCCGCGUGAGUGAUGAAGGUCUGCGGAUCGUAAAACUCUGUUAUUAGGAAAGAACAAAUGUGUAAGUAACUAUGCACGUCUUGACGGUACCUAAUCAGAAAGCCACGGCUAACUACGU